rnacentral:rRNA from 1 species
CAACUUUCAACAACGGAUCUCUUGGUUCUGGCAUCGAUGAAGAACGCAGCGAAAUGCGAUAAGUAGUGUGAAUUGCAGAAUUCAGUGAAUCAUCGAAUCUUUGAACGCACAUUGCGCCCCUUGGGAUUCCAUGGGGCAUGCCUGUUCGAGCGUCAUU